rnacentral:rRNA from 1 species
GAUGAACGCUGGCGGCGUGCCUAAUACAUGCAAGUCGAGCGAACGGACGAGAAGCUUGCUUCUCUGAUGUUAGCGGCGGACGGGUGAGUAACACGUGGAUAACCUACCUAUAAGACUGGGAUAACUUCGGGAAACCGGAGCUAAUACCGGAUAAUAUUUUGAACCGCAUGGUUCAAAAGUGAAAGACGGUCUUGCUGUCACUUAUAGAUGGAUCCGCGCUGCAUUAGCUAGUUGGUAAGGUAACGGCUUACCAAGGCAACGAUGCAUAGCCGACCUGAGAGGGUGAUCGGCCACACUGGAACUGAGACACGGUCCAGACUCCUACGGGAGGCAGCAGUAGGGAAUCUUCCGCAAUGGGCGAAAGCCUGACGGAGCAACGCCGCGUGAGUGAUGAAGGUCUUCGGAUCGUAAAACUCUGUUAUUAGGGAAGAACAUAUGUGUAAGUAACUGUGCACAUCUUGACGGUACCUAAUCAGAAAGCCACGGCUAACUACGUGCCAGCAGCCGCGGUAAUACGUANGUGGCAAGCGUUAUCCGGAAUUUUAUGGGCGUAAGCGCGCGUAGCGGUUUUUAAGUCUGAUGUGAAAGCCCACGGCUCAACCGUGGAGGGUCAUUGGAAACUGGAAAACUUGAGUGCAGAAGAGGAAAGUGGAAUUCCAUGUGUAGCGGUGAAAUGCGCAGAGAUAUGGAGGAACACCAGUGGCGAAGGCGACUUUCUGGUCUGUAACUGACGCUGAUGUGCGAAAGCGUGGGGAUCAAACAGGAUUAGAUACCCUGGUAGUCCACGCCGUAAACGAUGAGUGCUAAGUGUUAGGGGGUUUCCGCCCCUUAGUGCUGCAGCUAACGCAUUAAGCACUCCGCCUGGGGAGUACGACCGCAAGGUUGAAACUCAAAGGAAUUGACGGGGACCCGCACAAGCGGUGGAGCAUGUGGUUUAAUUCGAAGCAACGCGAAGAACCUUACCAAAUCUUGACAUCCUUUGACAACUCUAGAGAUAGAGCCUUCCCCUUCGGGGGACAAAGUGACAGGUGGUGCAUGGUUGUCGUCAGCUCGUGUCGUGAGAUGUUGGGUUAAGUCCCGCAACGAGCGCAACCCUUAAGCUUAGUUGCCAUCAUUAAGUUGGGCACUCUAAGUUGACUGCCGGUGACAAACCGGAGGAAGGUGGGGAUGACGUCAAAUCAUCAUGCCCCUUAUGAUUUGGGCUACACACGUGCUACAAUGGACAAUACAAAGGGCAGCGAAACCGCGAGGUCAAGCAAAUCCCAUAAAGUUGUUCUCAGUUCGGAUUGUAGUCUGCAACUCGACUACAUGAAGCUGGAAUCGCUAGUAAUCGUAGAUCAGCAUGCUACGGUGAAUACGUUCCCGGGUCU